GACGAACGCUGGCGGCGUGCCUAAUACAUGCAAGUUGAGCGCUGAAGGUUGGUACUUGUACCAACUGGAUGAGCAGCGAACGGGUGAGUAACGCGUGGGGAAUCUGCCUUUGAGCGGGGGACAACAUUUGGAAACGAAUGCUAAUACCGCAUAAAAACUUUAAACACAAGUUUUAAGUUUGAAAGAUGCAAUUGCAUCACUCAAAGAUGAUCCCGCGUUGUAUUAGCUAGUUGGUGAGGUAAAGGCUCACCAAGGCGAUGAUACAUAGCCGACCUGAGAGGGUGAUCGGCCACAUUGGGACUGAGACACGGCCCAAACUCCUACGGGAGGCAGCAGUAGGGAAUCUUAGGCAAUGGACGAAAGUCUGACCGAGCAACGCCGCGUGAGUGAAGAAGGUUUUCGGAUCGUAAAACUCUGUUGGUAGAGAAGAACGUUGGUGAGAGUGGAAAGCUCAUCAAGUGACGGUAACUACCCAGAAAGGGACGGCUAACUACGUG
rnacentral:rRNA from 1 species